AGCAUCUACGGAUGUGAAGUCAUUGAUGCCAUGCUUCCAGGAAAAGCCUCUAAGCUUCAGAUUGUAAGGAAUCGUACCCCAAACCGACACAGGUGGUCGGGUAGAGAAUACCAAGGCGCUUGAGAGAACUCGGGUGAAGGAACUAGGCAAAAUGGUACCGUAACUUCGGGAGAAGGUACGCUCUCGACGGUGAAGUCCCUCGCGGAUGGAGCUAUUGAGAGUCGCAGAUACCAGGUGGCUGCAACUGUUUAUUAAAAACACAGCACUGUGCAAAAUCGCAAGAUGACGUAUACGGUGUGACGCCUGCCCGGUGCCGGAAGGUUAAUUGAUGGGGUUAGACUUCGGUCGAAGCUCUUGAUCGAAGCCCCGGUAAACGGCGGCCGUAACUAUAACGGUCCUAAGGUAGCGAAAUUCCUUGUCGGGUAAGUUCCGACCUGCACGAAUGGCGUAAUGAUGGCCACGCUGUCUCCACCCGAGACUCAGUGAAAUUGAAAUCGCUGUGAAGAUGCAGUGUACCCGCGGCUAGACGGAAAGACCCCGUGAACCUUUACUACAGCUUGGCACUGAACAUUGACCCUACAUGUGUAGGAUAGGUGGGAGGCUUUGAAGCGCAGUCGCUAGAUUGCGUGGAGCCGUCCUUGAAAUACCACCCUUGUAGUGUUGAUGUUCUAACGUCGACCCCUUAUCGGGGUUGCGGACAGUGCCUGGUGGGUAGUUUGACUGGGGCGGUCUCCUCCCAAAGCGUAACGGAGGAGCACGAAGGUGGGCUAAUCACGGUUGGACAUCGUGAGGUUAGUGCAAUGGCAUAAGCCCGCUUGACUGCGAGAAUGACAAUUCGAGCAGGUGCGAAAGCAGGUCAUAGUGAUCCGGUGGUUCUGAAUGGAAGGGCCAUCGCUCAACGGAUAAAAGGUACUCCGGGGAUAACAGGCUGAUACCGCCCAAGAGUUCAUAUCGACGGCGGUGUUUGGCACCUCGAUGUCGGCUCAUCACAUCCUGGGGCUGAAGUCGGUCCCAAGGGUAUGGCUGUUCGCCAUUUAAAGUGGUACGCGAGCUGGGUUUAGAACGUCGUGAGACAGUUCGGUCCCUAUCUGCCGUGGGCGUUGGAGAAUUGAAAGGGGCUGCUCCUAGUACGAGAGGACCGGAGUGGACGAACCUCUGGUGUUCGGGUUGUGUCGCCAGACGCAUUGCCCGGUAGCUAAGUUCGGGAUCGAUAACCGCUGAAAGCAUCUAAGCGGGAAGCGAGCCUUGAGAUGAGUUCUCCCUGAUACUUUAAGUAUCCUAAAGGGUUGUCGUAGACUACGACGUUGAUAGGCAGGGUGUGUAAGCGUUGUGAGGCGUUGAGCUAACCUGUACUAAUUGCCCGUGAGGCUUAACCAU
rnacentral:rRNA from 1 species